rnacentral:rRNA from 1 species
AACGAACGCUGGCGGCGUGGAUUAGGCAUGCAAGUCGAACGGUCCGGCACCGCAAGGUGACGGAUAGUGGCAAAAGGGUGAGUAACGCGUGGGUAACCUACCUCCGAAACUGGGAUAACUUCGCGAAAGCGGGGCUAAUACCAGAUAAGACUACGAUUUUUAAAAAUAGUAGUAAAAGGUGGCCUCUGUUUACAAGCUGUCGAUUGGAGAGGGGCCCGCGUCCUAUCAGCUAGUUGGUGAGGUAACGGCCCACCAAGGCAUUUGACGGGUAGCUGGUCUGAGAGGAUGGUCAGCCACACUGGGACUGAGACACUGCCCAGACUCCUACGGGAGGCUGCAGUCGAGAAUCUUUAGCAAUGCCCGAAAGGGUGACUAUGCGACGCCGCGUGAGCGAUGAAGGCCUUCGGGUUGUAAAGCUCUGUCAGGUGGGAUGAAAAUUCUAUUCUAAAUAAGGGUAGAACUUGACCGUACCACCAGAGGAAGCCACGGCUAACUCCGUGCCAGCAGCCGCGGUAAUACGGAGGUGGCAAGCGUUGUUCGGAUUUAUUGGGUGUAAAGGGCAUGUAGGUGUUCUAGUAAGUUCUGGCUGAAAUCCUCCGGCUCAACCGGAGAAUGUGUCAGAAUACUGCUAGAAUUGAGUGUGGAAGAGGAGAGCGGAACUCCCGGUGUAAGGGUGAAAUCUGUAGAUAUCGGGAGGAACACCAGUGGCGAAAGCGGUUCUCUGGUCCGCAACUGACACUGAAAUGCGAAAGCUAGGGGAGCAAACAGGAUUAGAUACCCUGGUAGUCCUAGCCGUAAACGAUGGGCACUAGGUGUAGGUCCGUAAGGGUCUGUGCCGAAGUUAACACAUUAAGUGCCCCACCUGGGGACUACGGCCGCAAGGCUG